UACAGAGGUCCCGAGCGUUGUUCGGAUUCAUUGGGCGUAAAGAGCUCGUAGGCGGUGUGUCACGUCGAUCGUGAAAACUUACAGCUUAACUGUGAGCGUGCGGUCGAUACGGGCAUCACUGGAGUUCGGCAGGGGAGACUGGAAUUCCUGGUGUAGCGGUGAAAGUGCGCAGAUAUCAGGAGGAACACCGGUGGCGAAGGCGGGUCUCUGGGCCGAUACUGACGCUGAGGAGCGAAAGCCGUGGGGAGCGAACAGG
rnacentral:rRNA from 1 species